UUUUUUCUUAUGCUUUUUAUAUGCAGAAUGGGUAUACUCGCAUAUUUAAUAAAAAAUCGUUACCAAACUGUAAAUGCUUUUUUCAGUGUCAAAUGUUCUUUUACCAGACUAAAUAUAUAUUAAGGUAUUAGCCAUGUAAUAAAACUCGGGAAACAUCGGGUAACAUCGACAUAUAUCGCCACUCGCCGUAACAGAUCGCGACGAACAUCGGGCGUAUUCGGCCUGUACCGGAUGUUGCUAUUUUUAGAAACAGAAGGUAUUUCCCCGCUAUUCAUAGGUCAAUAAUGGAAUUUCUGCAUUGCAGUAUUUGGAAACUCUGUGAUGUAUUUCUCAUGAAUACACGUUUAAAAUAAAUAAACACUUAAUGUGGACGCUGGCAGUUGAUUACGAUACAUCUAACAACUUGAGUCAUUACAGUAAAACAUGGAUUAUAAGUGAUUUAUACGAGUAAGAGAAGAUUUUCUGUCGAAAAAACGAACUGUCAACAAUCAGCAUGGAACUGGGAUAUUCAGAUAUUCGUAUCAAAGGGCUAUGAAUGCAGGAAAAUGACUGAAUAUUACUAAGUCACCAACACUGGGUUAUGAAGAAUUCCAGCCUGCAUUAAAUACUAUGUUGGAUCCUUGAGACAGAUUUAACAGCCAUGUCUAUCCACAAGGCAGUCGCAUCUGAUAGUGAUGAUCACUAAACAUUCUGGAUGGGUAAAGUACCUGAAGGGGGAUGAAAACCAAAUCAGCAUUGACUCAGCAUUGAGUAGUUAUCAUCUGUGCUCUCACUACAAGUACAAACGCAUGGGAACAGACCAAACUUCAAAUGUUUAAGAGUGAAGAAUUAUUGUGAAAAAAUCUAAAUGUUAGAAUACCAAUGACAAAAAAGACAGACAUCAAAUUACCCACAGAGAUUGUUUACAUGUUAUAAUAUUAAAAAGACAUUAGUUGAGAACUUUCACUCUGACAUUUUUGGAGGGGCAUUACUGCCCAUUUAGUGUUCUUGUUUCUUUACAUAUUUUAGUUUAAAAGUACACUCAUUGUUUUAAACUCUGUAUUCUGAGUUUGUAUCAUAAUUAAAUUCAUUUAUUUGAAAAAGUACAUUUUAUGAAUAAGUCCAUUUAAGCUUUUAAAUUUUUACAAGAAAAAGAUUGAUUUUUAAGCAUUUUAUUAGCUAUAAAAAUGUAUGGUUACUU